UACACUCCUACGGGAGGCAGCAGUGGGGAAUUUUGGACAAUGGGCGAAAGCCUGAUCCAGCAAUGCCGCGUGAGUGAAGAAGGCCUUCGGGUUGUAAAGCUCUUUUGUCAGGGAAGAAACGGUGAGAGCUAAUAUCUUUUGCUAAUGACGGUACCUGAAGAAUAAGCACCGGCUAACUACGUGCCAGCAGCCGCGGUAAUACGUAGGGUGCAAGCGUUAAUCGGAAUUACUGGGCGUAAAGCGUGCGCAGGCGGUUUUGUAAGUCUGAUGUGAAAUCCCCGGGCUCAACCUGGGAAUUGCAUUGGAGACUGCAAGGCUAGAAUCUGGCAGAGGGGGGUAGAAUUCCACGUGUAGCAGUGAAAUGCGUAGAUAUGUGGAGGAACACCGAUGGCGAAGGCAGCCCCCUGGGUCAAGAUUGACGCUCAUGCACGAAAGCGUGGGGAGCAAACAGGAUUAGAUACCCCAGUAGUCCCAUGAU
rnacentral:rRNA from 1 species